rnacentral:piRNA from 1 species
CUGCUAGCUAGGAAUCCAGAGUAGAAAU